rnacentral:rRNA from 1 species
AUUGAACGCUGGCGGCAUGCCUUACACAUGCAUGUCGAACGGUAACGCGGGGCAACCUGGCGACGAGUGGCGAACGGGUGAGUAAUGCAUCGGAACGUGCCCAGUAGUGGGGGAUAGCCCGGCGAAAGCCGGAUUAAUACCGCAUACGACCUACGGGUGAAAGCGGGGGACCGUAAGGCCUCGCGCUAUUGGAGCGGCCGAUGUCAGAUUAGGUUGUUGGUGGGGUAAAGGCCUACCAAGCCGACGAUCUGUAGCUGGUCUGAGAGGACGACCAGCCACCCUGGGACUGAGACACGGCCCAGACGCCUACGGGAGGCAGCAGUGGGGAAUUUUGGACAAUGGGGGCAACCCUGAUCCAGCCAUGCCGCGUGCGGGAAGAAGGCCUUCGGGUUGUAAACCGCUUUUGUCAGGGAAGAAACGCUCUGGGUUAAUACCUCGGGGUAAUGACGGUACCUGAAGAAUAAGCACCGGCUAACUACGUGCCAGCAGCCGCAGUAACAC